rnacentral:rRNA from 1 species
GACGAACGCUGGCGGCGUGCCUAAUACAUGCAAGUCGAACGCAGUGGGGACGGGUGAGUAAAACGUGGGUAACCUCCCAUCAGAGGGGAUAACACUUGGAAACAGGUGCUAAACCGAUACUGAUGGAUGGACCCGCGGUGCAUUAGCUAGUUGGUGGGGUAACGGCUCACCAAGGCACCGAGGCAAAGCCGACCUCAGAGGGUGAUCGGCCACACGGGGACUGCGACACGGCCCAGACUCCUACGGGAGGCAGCAGUAGGGAAUCUUCGGCAAUGGACGAAAGUCUGACCGAGCAACGCCGCGUGAUUGAAGAAGGUUUUCGGAUCGUAAAACUCUGUUGUUAGAGAAGCGGUAUCUAACCAGAAAGCCACGGCUAACUCCGUGCCAGCCGCCGCGGUAAUUC